UACAGAGGGUGCAAGCGUUGUUCGGAUUCACUGGGCGUAAAGGGUGCGUAGGUGGUGAGGUAAGUCGGAUGUGAAAUCUCGGAGCUUAACUCCGAAACUGCAUUGGAAACUGCCUUGCUCGAGGGUUGGAGGGGGGACUGGAAUACUUGGUGUAGCAGUGAAAUGCGUAGAUAUCAAGUGGAACACCAGUGGCGAAGGCGAGUCCCUGGACAACUCCUGACACUGAGGCACGAAAGCUAGGGGAGCAAACAGG
rnacentral:rRNA from 1 species